UACCGUACCUAUGGUUGAUAAAAUAUGAAAAAUUUUGUUAGCAAUACAUAUAGAAAUAGGGUAAAAGAUACAAAAUAAAUAAGAUAAUAAAUUGAUUGACAAACCUUCUUUGACCAUCAAUAUUGUGUGUACGAAGAUUCUUAAGCCAAGUAUUUCCUUUAAUAACUUUGAUCUUUACUUCAGAAAACUCAUUUAACCCACUUAAGUCAGUAAUCAAUUUGGGAAGAAUCUACAUUUUGUAAGAACAUUACGAAUAUGUAAAUGUUAUUAAAUGAAAAAUAGUAAAAUUUAACAAAAAAUAAACAUAAAACAGCAUAGUAUAUUACCAAUUCAUUAGUUACUGUCAUUGCAAAAAAAAAAAAGGAUAGUUAGGAUCAUCACUAACUUGUCGAUAACCUUCAACAUUGCUAAUAUGUUCAUAUUCUUGCUCAAUCAAAGGAGUGUUGUUUAACAAAACUUGACGACCGUGUUUAUUGAAUAUGCUAAUAUUAAAAUGUUUCACGUCGUUAAUUUUAAAACACAAUAUAUCCCCAGGGUUUAACCUUAGAUCUUCAAUAAAUUUAAACCAACCAUCAGCAAAACAGUAUUUUCCACCAAUCUUUCUAAUACGGACUUCCCAUUUAUGAUUCUCUGAAACGUUAAGUAUAACCUUAUUAUCCGGUAAAGGAUGAUCAUAAUGUUUAGAAAGAAAAGUAUCUGGUAUAACCUUUUGAACUUGAAAGUACGAUCACCAAGGUAGUUGAAAAUAAUAAAGAAAUAUCCAUGGCCAAAGUACUCUAAAACCUCAGACCAUCCAUCUGUAAAGUAGAAAACAUCUUCUAUCAAUUUAAUAACAACACACCAUGAAUGUGUUUCAUCAAAUUUAAGACUAACAGUUGAGGAUUCUAACUUAUUCAUCCAUAUAAAUCUACUCAUACAUAUAGGUAUUGCCUGAAAACCAAAUAAAAAUGCGGAAAAUAUAUU
rnacentral:lncRNA from 1 species